GGUUCGAUCAUGGCUCAGAUUGAACGCUGGCGGGAUGCUUUACACAUGCAAGUCGAACGUAAGCACGGACUUUCGGUCUGGUGGCGAGUGGCGAACGGGUGAGUAAUGUAUCGGAACGUGCCCUGAUAGCGGGGGAUAACUACGCGAAAGCAUGUACCGCAUACGCCCUUCGGGGGAAAGCGGGGGACCGUUUGGGCCUCGCACUAUUAGAGCAGCCGAUAUCGGAUUAGCUAGUUGGUGGGGGUAACGGCUCACCAAGGCGACGAUCCGUAGCUGGUUUGAGAGGACGACCAGCCACACUGGGACGAGACACGGCCCAGACUCCUACGGGAGGCAGCAGUGGGAAUUUUGGACAGUAGGGGAAACCUGAUCCAGCCAUCCCGCGUGUGCGAUGAAGGCCUUCAGGUUGUAAAGCACUUUUAGCGGAAAGAAACGGCACGGAUAAUACCCGGCAGCGGCGUACCUGCAGAAUGACACCGGCUAACGUGCCGCGGCCGCGGUCAGCCGUAGGGUGCAAGCGUUAAUCGGAAUUACUGGGCGCAAAAGCGUGCAUGACGGUUCGGAGAAAAGAUGUGAAAUCCCAGAGCUUAACUUUGGAACUACAUUUUUGCUACCGAGCUAGAGAGUGUGUCAGAGGAGGUGGAAUUCCGCGUGUAGCGAUGAAAUGCGUAGAUAUGCGGAGGAACACCGAUGAAGGCAGCCUCCUGGGAUAACACUGACGCUCGUGCACGAAAGCGUGGGAGCAAACAAGGUCGAAUACCCUGGUAGUCCACGCCUAAACGAUGUCAACUAGCUGUUGAGGCCUUCGGGCCUUGGUGGCCGCAACUAACGCGUAGAGACGACCGCCAAAUUACGGUCGCAAGAUUAAAAACUCAAAGGAAUUGACGAGGUUACCACAAGCGAGGUGGAUGAUGUGGAUUAAUUCGAUGCAACGCGAAAAACCUUACUACCCUUGACAUGUCUGGAAUCCCGAAGAGAUUUGGGGUGCUCGCAGAGAACCGGAACACAGGUGCUGCAUGGCUGUCAGCUCGUGUCGUGAGGAUGUUGGGUUAAGUCCCGCAGCGAACGGCCCUUGGCUGUUAGUUGCUGCGAGAGCUCUAAUGAGACUGCCGGUGACAGCCGGAGGAAGGUGGGGAUGACGUCGAAGCGUCUAUGGCCCUUAUGGGUAGGGCUUCACACGUCAUACAAUGGUCGGGACAGAGGGUCGCCAACCUGAAGAGGCCAAUCGGCUUGAUCGCGCUGGAGUCCGGAUCGCAGUCUGCAACUCGACCAAGUGAAGUCGGAAUCGCUAGUAAUCGCGGAUCAUGUCGCGGUGAAUACGUUCGGGUCUUGUACACACCGCCCGUCACACCAUGGGAGUGGGUUUUACCCAAGUAGUUAGCCUAACCAUGGAAGGCGAUUACCACGAUAGGAUUCAUGACUGGGGUGAAGUCGUAACAGGUAA
rnacentral:rRNA from 1 species